UACGUAGGGGGCAAGCGUUGUCCGGAAUCAUUGGGCGUAAAGCGCGUGUAGGCGGUCCGGUAAGUCGGUUGUGAAAGUCCAGGGCUCAACCCUGGGAUGCCGACCGAUACUGUCGGACUAGAGUUCGGAAGAGGGAUGCGGAAUUCCAGGUGUAGCGGUGAAAUGCGUAGAUAUCUGGAGGAACACCGGUGGCGAAGGCGGCAUCCUGGACCAUUACUGACACUGAAAAGCGAAAGCCAGGGGAGCAGACGGG
rnacentral:rRNA from 1 species